GUACACAUUUCAUUUUCUUUUUAUCAAGAGAAAAGAUAUUUCUGCUGUGCUAAAUAAACCUUUGGAGGUAAAUUAGCAGCAAAACUUACUUAGCCAUUGCUGUCAGUCACCUUCAGACAAGU
ensembl:snoRNA